AUAGCUGCGGGUGGCUGUGCUGGUGGCGUUCAAGAUGUCGACCAAGAAUUUCCGAGUCAGUGACGGGGACUGGAUUUGCCCUGACAAAAAAUGUGGAAAUGUAAACUUUGCUAGAAGAACCAGCUGUAAUCGAUGUGGUCGGGAGAAAACAACUGAGGCCAAGAUGAUGAAAGCUGGGGGCACUGAAAUAGGAAAGACACUUGCAGAAAAGAGCCGAGGCCUAUUUAGUGCUAAUGACUGGCAAUGUAAAACUUGCAGCAAUGUGAAUUGGGCCAGAAGAUCAGAGUGUAAUAUGUGUAAUACUCCAAAGUAUGCUAAAUUAGAAGAAAGAACAGGAUAUGGUGGUGGUUUUAAUGAAAGAGAAAAUGUUGAAUAUAUAGAAAGAGAAGAAUCUGAUGGUGAAUAUGAUGAGUUUGGACGUAAAAAGAAGAAAUACAGAGGGAAAGCAGUUGGUCCUGCAUCUAUAUUAAAGGAAGUUGAAGAUAAAGAAUCAGAGGGAGAAGAAGAGGAUGAGGAUGAAGAUCUUUCUAAAUACAAAUUAGAUGAGGAUGAGGAUGAGGAUGAAGAUGAUGCUGAUCUCUCAAAAUAUAAUCUUGAUGCCAGUGAAGAAGAAGAUAGUAAUAAAAAGAAAUCUAAUAGACGAAGUCGCUCAAAGUCUCGAUCUUCACAUUCACGAUCUUCAUCACGCUCAUCCUCCCCCUCAAGUUCAAGGUCUAGGUCCAGGUCCCGUUCAAGAAGUUCUUCCAGUUCGCAGUCAAGAUCUCGUUCCAGUUCCAGAGAACGUUCGAGAUCUCGUGGGUCGAAAUCAAGAUCCAGCUCCAGGUCCCACAGGGGCUCUUCUUCCCCACGAAAAAGAUCUUACUCAAGUUCAUCAUCUUCUCCUGAGAGGAACAGAAAGAGAAGUCGUUCUAGAUCUUCUUCAUCUGGUGAUCGCAAAAAAAAGACGAACAAGAUCACGGUCACCCGAAAGACGCCACAGGUCAUCUUCUGGAUCAUCCCAUUCUGGUUCCCGUUCAAGUUCAAAAAAGAAAUAAUGUAUUAAAAUUUACAUCUUAAAAAAAUCCAGUUCAGUGCAUGAAGCAUAUUUUUAAAGAAGUUGGUGUCUUACUUGGUCAGAAGUGCUAAAUCUGCUAGUAGAGGUGCAUGCCUUUCAUUGCUUUUCAAAACAAUACAGCUGUGUUUAUUUGUGAAGUUAAAAGUAAAUAGCAUUUUAAGCCAUAAUGUCCCAAAAUAGAUGCUCUGUCAUUCAUUAUUACAACCAUUUGCUUCAUUUAAAACCACUUCAGCUGUAACAAAGUACUUUGCUUCCUAAUUUAAACCCAUUUUUCUCAUUUUCAAAUACAUCCUGUCCAUUGGCUAAGACAGGAUUACUUAGGCUUUCCUGAACUUUGGGUUUGGAGGCAAGACUGGAAACUAGUUGGAAACAACAUACUUGUGGAAAAGACAGUCAACCUGUUUAUGCUGUUAACAGAUGUCAAAGUGAUUCUCAUAAAAAAAAAGUUAAACUAUAUUGUAAGCAGCCAACUGUAAAUGUCUUUGAAAUUCCCUCUGCUAAGGGUGCCUUAGAAUCAUUGUGUCUCUUUUAUCCAGCUUUACUUUUUUGCUCCACAUUUAAUGCGAAAGAAUCUUGUGACAUCUACAAGGAGAGAAGUGGGAUUUAUUUUCCUUUUUGACACACAAUUUGGGACAAAAAAGAAAGUCUUAAGAGUCUAUCUCUUCUCUAUUGAUAUGGUUGCUUGAUAAAGACAUCUCAAAAUGUUUACCAAUGUUUUAAGAAGCUUUGUGUGAUAUUCUUCAAAAUCUAGUUACCAAAUAUGAUAUGGUAGAAAAGGCUAAAUCAUAGUCAAUGAGCAAAUUGAAGUAAGCUUUUAAAGUAUAUUUCUCUUUUGGUGAAAGGCCAGUGGAGACAUUGUGAAUUUAAGUGAACAUUUGCCUCAAGAUGUUAACUAUAAACAUACUGCAUACAAUUUUCUUCUGAAUAACAAGUGAAUGCUUAUCUCUACAUGAUGUAAGCAAAAAUCAUUAUUUUUCCUAUUCAUUUGAAGUAAGUUAUGGCUUAAAAUGCUUUCGGAGUUCAUUUCUCAAAAUUAAAAUCUGGUCACGUGAGCUUCAGUUUGUUUUCUGGUUUAAAAAAUAAAAAGGUUUCUCUUAACAGUAUUUCCAGUGACAAUGCAAGGUAAGUAUAUCAAAGAAAAUCAACAGUUGUGCUUGGGGGCUUUUUGUUAUGGGAUAUUGAUUUCUUUUCCUUGUUUUUUUUCCAUAACAUUGUCUGCUGCAAUUUAAAUAAAAAAUUACGACAUUUUAAGAUAUUUCGUAGACAGACCAAACAAAAAUAUAUGUUUUUAUUUUAAAAUGAAUGUUUUUCUCUUCAGCUGAUCUAAAAAUGAAAGCAAAAUAUCUAAUGUAGAAAUAUUUUGAUAAUAUUUUUACAGUGAGCUUUCCCAUGUUUGUAUGUCUUAAUUUUCUUUGCUGCGUUUAUGUAGGUUGCACAAGAACUUUUACUCACUUGUAAUUGUGCCUCAGACUUUUUGAAAGUCUACCUUCUAAAUUACCCAGAUGAUCUAGAUUCUACAUGUUACCAUUGGUUUAUUCUUGUGCUUUCUGUAUUUAAAACUUUGGCUGUACUAAGCAAAUGCAAGGUUAUAAUUUAGCUAAUAGUAGUUUACAGACAAUUCUGAUGAUUAUGAUUUCAUUUGGUUUAACUAAACUGUACUAGUUCAUUUCAUAAGGAAAUGAUACUGUAGACAAAUGUAAAUAAAGCCUGUGAGUCAAGCAUCAAGUGGUGUUUGUUAGAAAUAAACUAGAGAUUUUUAAACUCU